AGUGAACGUUGGCGACGUGGAUUAGGCAUGCAAGUCGAGCGAGAACCGUAGCAAUACGGGGACAGCGGCGAAAGGGACAGUAAUGUGUAGGUACCUACCUCCGGGUUCGGGAUAGUUGCGGGAAACUGCAGGUAAUACCGAAUAACGUCUCCGGACCAAAGGUGUGAUUCCACCUGGAGAGGGGCCUGGAGCCUAUUAGCUUGUUGGCGGGGGAACGGCCCACCAAGGCGACGAGGGGUAGCGGGUGUGAGAGCACGACCCGCGUCAUUGGGGCUGAGACACUGCCCAGACCCCGACGGGUGGCUGCAGUCGUGAAUCUUCGGCAAUGGGCGCAAGGCUGAACGAGCGACGCCGCGUGCGGGAUGAAGGCCUUCGGGUUGUAAACCGCUGUCGUAGAGGAGGAAAUGCAGGGGGGUUCUCCCCUCUGUUUGACCUAUUCUAGGAGGAAGUACGGGCUAAGUUCGUGCCAGCCGCCGCCGUAA
rnacentral:rRNA from 1 species